rnacentral:rRNA from 1 species
AUGCGAUAGGGGAUCCCAAGUGCGAGGGCAUAUUACCCCUCGUUUUUGUCGCCUCUAGGGGGGUCAACAAAUAAGAGCUGGGAAAGACGGGGGCCAGCCGCCGGGUUAAUACGGGCGGCUCAGGGGAUGUCCAUUUUUUUUGGGCCUAAAGCGUCGGUAGUUGGCCGGCCAAGUCUUUGGGAAAAUCCCCCGGCCCAACGGGGGGGCGUCGGGGGAAAACUGGCGGGUUUGGAACCGAAAGGCUCAGAGGGAACUUCGGGGGAAGGAGUGAAAUCCCGUAUUCCGGGAGGGACCCCCGAUGGCAAAAGCACUCUGAGAAAAGGGAUUCAACAGGGGGGGACAAAAGCUGGGGUCUCAAACGGGAUUAAAUCCCGGGUAAGUCCUGGCUGAAACCAAUGCUCGUAAGGUGUGGCCCCCCUUACAAGUGGGUGCUGGCCCGAAGGAAACCCGCAAACCGAGCGCCCUGGAAAGACCGUCGGCAAGGAUAAAACUUAAAGAAUUGGGGGGGAAACAAAAA